rnacentral:rRNA from 1 species
AGCAGUCGCCACGGGAAUACAGAGGGUGCGAGCGUUAAUCGGAUUUACUGGGCGUAAAGCGUGCGUAGGCGGCUUUUUAAGUCGGAUGUGAAAUCCCUGAGCUUAACUUAGGAAUUGCAUUCGAUACUGGGAAGCUAGAGUAUGGGAGAGGAUGGUAGAAUUCCAGGUGUAGCGGUGAAAUGCGUAGAGAUCUGGAGGAAUACCGAUGGCGAAGGCAGCCAUCUGGCCUAAUACUGACGCUGAGGUACGAAAGCAUGGGGAGCAAACAGGAUUAGAUACCCGUGUAGUCCCUGUCUCUUAUAC